AUGCUCACUUUGGCAGCACAUAGACUAAGAUUGGAAGGAUACAGAGAUUAGCAUUGCCCCUGUGCAGGGACGACACAUAUGUUACACAGAAUAGUGCUUCCCAUCU
ensembl:snRNA U6 U6 spliceosomal RNA